rnacentral:rRNA from 1 species
UCGAACGAGAAAGGGGAGCAAUCCCUGAGUACAGUGGCGCACGGGUGAGUAACACGUGGAUGAUCUAUCUCUUAGUGGGGAAUAACCCUGGGAAACCGGGGAUAAUACCGCAUAAGCUCGAGAGAGGAAAGCAGCAAUGCGCUGAGAGAGGAGUCCGCGGCCGAUUAGCUAGUUGGCAGGGUAAGAGCCUACCAAGGCAGAGAUCGGUAGCCGGCCUGAGAGGGCACACGGCCACACUGGCACUGAAACACGGGCCAGACUCCUACGGGAGGCAGCAGUGGGGAAUCUUGCACAAUGGGGGAAACCCUGAUGCAGCGACGCCGCGUGAGCGAUGAAGCCCUUCGGGGUGUAAAGCUCUUUCGGCAGGGAAGAUAAUGACGGUACCUGCAGAAGCAGCUGCGGCUAACUACGUGCCAGCAGCCGCGGUAAUACGUAGGCAGCGAGCGUUGUUCGGAGUUACUGGGCGUAAAGGGUGUGUAGGCGGUUGUUUAAGUUUGGUGUGAAAUCUCCCGGCUCAACUGGGAGGGUGCGCCGAAUACUGAAUGACUUGGAGUGCGGGAGAGGAGAGUGGAAUUCCUGGUGUAGCGGUGAAAUGCGUAGAUAUCAGGAGGAACACCGGUGGUGUAGACGGCUCUCUGGACCGUAACUGACGCUGAGACACGAAAGCGUGGGUAGCAAACAGGAUUA